rnacentral:tRNA from 1 species
GCGCCACUAGCUCAAUCGGUAGAGCAGCGGAUUCUUAAUCCGUUGGUUCGGGGUUCGAGUCCCUGGUGGCGUACCA